rnacentral:rRNA from 1 species
UACAGAGGUCUCAAGCGUUGUUCGGAUUCAUUGGGCGUAAAGGGCGCGUAGGCGGCCUUCUAAGUCGAACGUGAAAUCCCCGGGCUCAACCCGGGAACUGCGUCCGAUACUGGAAGGCUUGAAUCCGGGAGAGGGAUGUGGAAUUCCAGGUGUAGCGGUGAAAUGCGUAGAUAUCGGGAGGAACACCAGUGGCGAAGGCGACUACCUGGCCUGUUCUUGACGCUGAGGCGCGAAAGCUAGGGGAGCAAACGGG